rnacentral:tRNA from 1 species
AGCCCCGUCUUCUAGUGGCCUAGGAUACAGGGCUCUGGUCCCUGCGACCGGGGUUCGAAUCCCCGCGGGGCUA